rnacentral:hammerhead_ribozyme from 1 species
GCACUGCUGAGGAGUCCCACAAUAGGACAAAACGGCCGUCCAGUUC